CCUACUGGUGGCAUCAUUGAGGCAUCUUGGUCAAUGGGCGCGAGCCUGAACCAGCCAAGUAGCGUGAAGGCUUACUUCCCUACGUGUUGUCCCCUUCUUUUCUCCCUUCCUCCCGUGAGGCACGUGUGCCUUUUUGUGUGUACUUUAUGAAUAAGGAUCGGCUAACUCCGUGCCAGCAGUCGCGGUAAUACGGAGGAUCCGAGCGUUAUCCGGAUUUAUUGGGUUUAAAGGGAGCGUAGAUGGGUUGUUAAGUCAGUUGUGAAAGUUUGCGGCUCAACCGUAAAAUUGCAAUUGAUACUGGCAGCCUUGAGUACAGUUGAGGUAGGCGGAAUUCGUGGUGUAGCGGUGAAAUGCUUAGAUAUCACGAAGAACUCCGAUUGCGAAGGCAGCCUACUAAACUGCCACUGACAUUGAUGCUCGAAAGUGUGGGUAUCAAACAGGAUUAGAUACCCUUGUAGUC
rnacentral:rRNA from 1 species